ACAUACUAGUACUAGGGCUAUGGAACUGGUUUUUAAUACCGGUAUGAGAGUUUUAUUUUUAACUUCAAACUCAACAAAAACUCUCUCUUUCUCUCUCUAAAUUUUUUCUAAUGUUAUUCUCACUCAGAUCUUUAGUUUUCAAACAUCAAUUUUUAAGUUUGCUCAUCAAAACUCAUCUCAUCAUCUUUAAAACCCUAAUUUUUUCAAUUUUUAACAGUUUUGUUGGGUUAAGUAGAGAUCUUUAUUUUUGCUGAAAUUUCUUGUAGUUUUUUUUAUUGUAAUUGGCGUUAGUUA
rnacentral:lncRNA from 1 species